GAGCUUCCAAUACGUUACACAAUUUGAGGAAUUUUUUCCUUUUCCUUACCUUGAAGAAGCACGUUGGUUUAUAAAGGGGGCACACGCUGUUGUUACGACCUCCACCAAUGUGAUGUUUUGCUUUGGGUGGUGCAUUGAUUUGACUGAUUCAUUUGGCAAAGAGAAAAAGGCUGAAAGGUGCAGAGGUGGAAGCGCCAACCAGUUGCAGCAUGCCAAUCGGAGGAAAGGGAGGCAAACCCUAGAAGGUUUGGGAGCUUGAUUUGAUGAAGGUUUUUACAUCUACCCCCCUAUCGCUUGCAUCGUCC
rnacentral:lncRNA from 1 species